CCUACGGGAGGCAGCAGUGAGGAAUAUUGGUCAAUGGACGAGAGUCUGAACCAGCCAAGUAGCGUGAAGGAUGACUGCCCUAUGGGUUGUAACCUUCUUUUAUAUGGGAGUUAAAUGUUCCACGUGUGGGAUUUUGUAUGUACCAUAUGAAUAAGGAACGGCUAAAUCCGGGCCAGCAGCCGCGGUAAUACGGAGUAUCCGAGCGUUAUCCGGAUGUAUUGGGUGUAAAGGGAGCGUAGUUGGAUUGUUAAGUCAGUUGUGAAAGUUUGCGGCUCAACCGUAAAAUUGCAGUUGAAACUGGGAGUCUAGAGUAUAGUAGAGGUAGGCGGAAUUCGUGGUGUAGCGGUAAAAUGCUUAGAUAUCACGAAGAA
rnacentral:rRNA from 1 species